CUUUACUAUAGCUUGUCAUUGAAUUUAUGUUUUUAUUGCUUAGAAUAGGUGGGAGCCUUUGAAGCCUUUCUUCCGGGGAAGGCAGAGGCGAAAUAUGAAAUACCACUCUGUAAAAAUGUGAAUUCUAACCACAAUUUAACCUACUGUGGGACAGUGACUGGUGGGUAGUUUAACUGGGGCGGUUGCCUCCUAAAUGGUAACGGAGGCGUUUAUUAAGGUAGGCUAGGCAUGGAUGGAAAUCAUGCCGGUAGUGCAAACGCAUAAGCCUGCUUGACUGCAAGGGCGGCGACCCGCGCAGGCACGAAAGUGGAAGUUAGUGAUCCGAUGCGUUCGAGUGGAAGACGCAAAGCCCAACGGAUAAAAGUUA
rnacentral:rRNA from 1 species